AUGCAUAAAGGUGUACGU
rnacentral:snRNA from 1 species